UGGCGAGCGCCCGCUGCCUUGCCUCGCUCGAGCGUCGGCAGUUUGCCGCGCGAGUGCCAGGUGCAUGCCGCCCGCGCGCUCGUAUCCUUUCCCCGCCAGCGUGCGCUGCGGGCACGCGAGCUGGGCUACAUCCCUCGCACGAGUUCGCGCUGCCUUCCUCGCGAGUGGGUGAAGCAUGCCUUACUCGGAAAUGGGCAGCCUCGCGCGCAAGAGUUGGCUUUCCUUGCCGCGCGUCAACCUAGUACGAGAGGAACCGUUGAUUCGCACAAUUGGUCAUCGCGCUUGGUUGAAAAGCCAGUGGCGCGAAGCUACGUGCGCUGGAUUAUGACUGAACGCUCUAAGUCAGAAUCGGGCUAGAGCGACGCGUGCGCCGCCGCCGUUUGCCGACCCGCAGUAGGGACCGCCCGGUCCCAGAGGCACGUGUCGAGGCCAAGCCCCCGCGGCGGAAGGGCCGCGGCGGCGCCUUGAAUCGUAAUUCCCAUCGAGCGGCGGUAGAAUCCUUUGCAGACGAUUAAAUACGCGACGGGGUAUUGUAAGUGGCAGAGUGGCCUUGCUGCCACGAUCCACUGAGAUUCAGCCCUACGUCGCUCAGAUUCGUCCCUCCCCCCUCACUCGCACCGUCUUCUCUUGUUCGGAACCCGUCGGAGGUUAGCCCCUGCGGCGCACAGCCAAGGAUCGGAGUGGACUUGUGUUUUUUCACGAGGCUAACUCUCGGCAAUAUCUAAGUGGCUGGCACAAAGGCAGCACACUCUCCUUUUCAUGAGGCUAACUCUGGCACAAAGACUUGUGUGAUGGCUUCGAAAGGAGGCUAACUCAGGCCUCGUAGCGGACUUGUGUCUAACUCUCGGCAAAAUCUAAGUGGCUGGCACAAAGGAGAAAUUUGGCUUCCGUUUUCUCCUGUGGCUAAACCCCACGCCGCCCCGAAAACGCGAAUUUUGGCCCUUUCUGGCCGAAAAAUGGGUCCCCCUGCGCGUUCGGUAAAUUGGCCAUAAAACGAGAUCCGGACCUCGGAAUAGACUUCCGUCUCCUCCGACGGUUAACAAACGCACAUAUCUACAAUGCCGGCCCAAAAUCCCCUGCCGCCCCGAAAACGCGAAAUUUGGGCAAAAUCCGUGUGCUCAAAAUGGCCACGGUUUUUUGGCCAUUUUUGCCCAAAAUUUGGGACCCCGAGCUCCGGCAUAAUUUCCACCACUUUUUGGUCCCAUCAGAUAAUUCAGGUCGAUAUUACGGCGCCUCCUAAAAUUUCAGCCCAUUCCGGUGCCGUUUGCAUAUCUUACGAGUAAUUUUGUGUCCCGGUUUAUCCAUUUUGGACGAUUUUAAAAACUGUUUUCCAGCGGCCAAAAAAUUGUUCCCUAAGCCCGCCAUCUACUUGAGUCCUGAGACUAAUUGCAGCAUCCGGCCCAUGGUGGUUUCUCGCAUGACGCCUAAUUGCAGCAUCCGGCCCCCAUGGAACAGCGGUAGCAGCGCCGGAAGGGACAUGGCCACUUCCCGCGCGGAAGGAAGCCACCCGCCCCAGCCAGGGCGAGCGCGGCCUGCCUCGCGCGAGGGUGCUGUGCGUGCCCCGCGAGGGUGCCGUGCGAGCCGCGCGAUCGUGCCUGGCCUGCUCGCAAGCGCGCGCUGCCUGCCCCGCGAUCGUGGGCAGCUUGCCUCGCGAGCCUGCGCUGCUUGCCGCGCGAGUGGGGGCUGCAUGGCGUGCGCAAGCCUUGCCUCGCUCGAGCGUGGGCUGCGUGCCUUGGUGGCGAGCGCCCGCUGCCUUGCCUCGCUCGAGCGUCGGCAGUUUGCCGCGCGAGUGCCAGGUGCAUGCCGCGCGCGCGCUCGUAUCCUUCCCCGCCAGCGUGCGCUGCGGGCACGCGAGGCUGGGCUACAUCCCUCGCACGAGUUCGCGCUGCCUUCCUCGCGAGUGGGUGAAGCAUGCCUUACUCGGAAAUGGGCAGCCUCGCGCGCAAGAGUUGGCUUCCUUGCCGCGCGAGCGUGGGCAGCCUCGCGCGCCAGCGUUGGCUGCCUUGCCGUGCGAGGGUGGGCAGCCUCGCGCGCCAGCGUGCGCAGCCUCGCGCGCGAUCGUUGGCUUCCUUGCCGCGCGAGCGUGCGCAGCCUGGCGCGCGAGCGUCGGCUUGCUUGCCGCGCGAGCGUGCGCAGCCUCGCGCGCCAGAGUGCGCAGCCUUGCCGCUCGAGCGUGGGCAGCCUUGCCGCGCGAGAGUUGGCUGCCUUGCCGCGCGAGAGUGGGCAACCUCGCGCGCCAGCGUGCGCAUCCUUGCCGCGCGAGCGUGCGCAGCCUGGCGCGCGAGCGUGGGCUUGCUUGCCGUGCGAGCGUUGGUAACGCGCGCCAUCUUGGGCAGCUCGGGCGCCAGCGUGCGCAGCCUCGCGCCACAGUGCGCAGCCUUGCCGCUCGAGCGUGGGCAGCCUUGCCGCGCCAGAGUUGGCUGCCUUGCCGCGCGAGUGUGGGCAACCUCGCGCGCCAGCGUGCGCAUCCUCGCGCAAGAUCGUUGGCUGCCUUGCCGCA
rnacentral:lncRNA from 1 species